UACGUAGGGGGCUAGCGUUGUCCGGAAUCAUUGGGCGUAAAGCGCGUGUAGGCGGUCCGGUAAGUCCGCUGUGAAAGUCCGGGGCUCAACCCCGGGAGGCGGGCGGAUACUGUCGGGCUAGAGUCCGGAAGAGGCGAGUGGAAUUCCUGGUGUAGCGGUGAAAUGCGCAGAUAUCAGGAGGAACACCAAUUGCGAAGGCAGCUCGCUGGGACGUUACUGACGCUGAGACGCGAAAGCGUGGGGAGCAAACAGG
rnacentral:rRNA from 1 species